rnacentral:tRNA from 1 species
GGGGCUGUAGCUCAGUGGCAGAGCGCUUGCCUAGCAUGUAUGAGGCACUGGGUUUGAUCCUCAGCAUCACA